CUGAGAGGGUCUCCCAACUGCCCUUCUCCCCAACGAAGGACAAUGUGACCUGCGGGUGAGACAGUUGGACAGUCCCAGAAAAACAGGACUGUCACGCCAAAAUCUGGACAGUUGGGAGUGACCUCUGCAGCAGAUUGGCCCAUUCUUUCAGAGUCAGGUCAUUUACAGUACAUGGCAGGACUGCAGGGAGUUCUAAACCAGCCGCUUAACAAUUUUUAUUGGCAAGAUGAUAUACAAAAACAUUGAAGUGACCUGCACAGAGGUCUCAAGAUGACAUCCAACAAAAUAGUGUCAUGACACAAAUCAAUAUGAUAAU